AAUAUUUUACAAUGGGCGAAAGCCUGAUCCAGCCAUGCCGCGUGUGUGAAGAAGGUCUCCGGAGUGUAAAGACCUUUAUGUUGGGGGGAAGGGCUUUAGGUUAAUACCCUGAAGUGUUGGCGUUACCUACAGAAUAAGCAGCGGCUACCUUCGUGCCAGCAGCCGCGGUAAUACGAAGGGUGCAAGCGUUAAUCGGAAUUACUGGGCGUAAAGCGCGCGUAGGUGGUUUGUUAAGUUGGAAGUGGAAGCCCCGGGCUCAACCUGGGAACUGCUUUCAAAACUGGCAAGCUAGAGUAUGGAAGAGGGUGGUGGAAUUUCCUGUGUAGCGGUGAAAUGCGUAGAUAUAGGAAAGAACACCAGUGGCGAAGGCGACCACCUGGGCUAAUACUGACACUGAGGUGCGAAAGCGUGGGGAGCAAAC
rnacentral:rRNA from 1 species